CCUAAUUAACCAGCCAGAUUAGAAGGGUCUAGGAUUCCUUUGUAAGGCGCAGCAAAAAAGACAAUCAGAUACAAUAUCAGGGAUCUUCUGGUAAGGCUUCUGGCUACCAUUAGUUCUGAAUACUGAGGAUUUGAGGAGAAAAAAAGCUGUGAGUUUUGAAAUGUCUUUGAGAAUUACUUGGAUUUGUUGCCUGCUAAUUGGAGGGAUAACCUGUUAUCCUCCACCUAAAGGUAAUUAUAGAUAUAGUCCCCAAAAUCAAUUAAAAGGAAUUGGCCACAAUGCAGCGGUAGCUACCGGAUCCCGUGCCUCGGCAGGUGAAGCAGCCACCAGUAAUGCCACUGCAAGCGUCACGACUGGCCCAAAUACCUUAGGUGGAGCAACCGGAUCCCGUGCCUCAGAAGCAGUCACCCACAAUGCCUCAGCAAGCGUCACGACUGGCCCAAAUACCUUAGGUGAAGCAACUGGCCACAAUGCUUCAUCAAGCGCCACGACUGGCCCAAAUGCCUUAGGUGAAGCAACUGGCCAUGGUGCCUCGGUAGUGGAAGCAACUGGACACAGUGCCAUGCCAGCGGUCACCCAUAAUGCCUCGGAAGCGGCCACCCACAAUGCUUCAUCAAGCGCCACGACUGGCCCAAAUGCCUUAGGUCAAGCAGCUGGCUAUAGUGCCUCGGCAGCGGAAGCAACUG